CGAACGGGUGAGUAAUGCGUGACCAACCUGCCCCAUGCUCCAGAAUAGCUCUUGGAAACGGGUGGUAAUGCUGGAUGCUCCAACUUGACGCAUNUCUUGUUGGGAAAGUGUUUAGUGGCAUGGGAUGGGGUCGCGUCCUAUCAGCUUGUAGGCGGGGUAAUGGCCCACCUAGGCUUCGACGGGUAGCCGGCCUGAGAGGGCGGACGGCCACAUUGGGACUGAGAUACGGCCCAGACUCCUACGGGAGGCAGCAGCU
rnacentral:rRNA from 1 species